rnacentral:rRNA from 1 species
AGUGAACGCUGGCGGUAGGCCUAACACAUGCAAGUCGAACGGCAGCACAGUAAGAGCUUGCUCUUACGGGUGGCGAGUGGCGGACGGGUGAGGAAUACGUCGGAAUCUACUUUUUCGUGGGGGAUAACGUAGGGAAACUUACGCUAAUACCGCAUACGACCUACGGGUGAAAGCAGGGGAUCUUCGGACCUUGCGCGAUUGAAUGAGCCGAUGUCGGAUUAGCUAGUUGGCGGGGUAAAGGCCCACCAAGGCGACGAUCCGUAGCUGGUCUGAGAGGAUGAUCAGCCACACUGGAACUGAGACACGGUCCAGACCCCUACGGGAGGCAGCAGUGGGGAAUAUUGGACAAUGGGCGCAAGCCUGAUCCAGCCAUACCGCGUGGGUGAAGAAGGCCUUCGGGUUGUAAAGCCCUUUUGUUGGGAAAGAAAAGCAGCAGGUUAAUACCCCGCUGUUCUGACGGUACCCAAAGAAUAAGCACCGGCUAACUUCGUG